rnacentral:rRNA from 1 species
CAUGCAGGUCGAGGGGCAGCAUUUUAGUUUGCUUGCAAACUAAAGAUGGCGACCGGCGCACGGGCUGAGCUAACACGCUAUCCNACCUGCCGAUAACUCGGGGAUAGCCUUUCGAAAGAAAGAUUAAUAUCCGAUAGUAUAUUAAAACCGCNUGGUUUUACUAUUAAAGAAUUUCGGUUAUCGAUGGGGAUGCGUUCCAUUAGUUUGUUGGCGGGGUAACGGCCCACCAAGACUACGAUGGAUAGGGGUUCUGAGAGGAAGGUCCCCCACAUUGGAACUGAGNCACGNUCCAANCNNAUACGGGAGGCAGCAGUGAGGAAAUAUUGGUCAAUGGACGAGAGUCUGAACCAGCCAAGUAGCGUGAAGGAUGACUGCCCUAUGGGUUGUAAACUUCUUUAAUAUGGAAAUAAAGUAUUCCACGUGUGGGAAUUUGUAUGUACCAUAUGAAUAAGGAUCGGCUAACUCCGUGCCAGCAGCCGCGGUAAUACGGAGGAUCCGAGCGUUAUCCGGAUUUAUUGGGUUUAAAAGGGAGCGUAGGUGGAUUGUUAAGUCAGUUGUGAAAGUUUGCGGCUCAACCGUAAAAUUGCAGUUGAAACUGGCAGUCUUGAGUACAGUAGAGGUGGGCGGAAUUCGUGGUGUAGCGGUGAAAUGCUUAGAUAUCACGAAGAACUCCGAUUGCGAAGGCAGCUCACUAGACUGCAACUGACACUGAUGCUCGAAAGUGUGGGUAUCAAACAGGAUUAGAUACCCUGGUAGUCCACACAGUAAACGAUGAAUACUCGCUGUUUGCGAUAUACAGUAAGCGGCCAAGCGAAAGCAUUAAGUAUUCCACCUGGGGAGUACGCCGGCAACGGUGAAACUCAAAGGAAUUGACGGGGGCCCCGCACAAGCGGAGGAACAUGUGGUUUAAUUCGAUGAUACGCGAGGAACCUUACCCGGGCUUAAAUUGCAUUUGAAUAAUCUGGAAACAGGUUAACCGCAAAGGCAAAUGUGAAGGUGCUGCAUGGUUGUCGUCAGCUCGUGCCGUGAGGUGUCGGCUUAAGUGCCAUAACGAGCGCAACCCUUAUCUUUAGUUACUAACAGGUCAUGCUGAGGACUCUAGAGAGACUGCCGUCGUAAGAUGUGAGGAAGGUGGGGAUGACGUCAAAUCAGCACGGCCCUUACGUCCGGGGCUACACACGUGUUACAAUGGGGGGUACAGAAGGCAGCUACCUGGCGACAGGAUGCUAAUCCCAAAAACCUCUCUCAGUUCGGAUCGAAGUCUGCAACCCGACUUCGUGAAGCUGGAUUCGCUAGUAAUCGCGCAUCAGCCAUGGCGCGGUGAAUACGUUCCCGGGCCUUGUACACACCGCCCGUCAAGCCAUGAAAGCCGGGGGUACCUGAAGUACGUAACCGCAAGGAGCUCCUAGG